AUGGCAACGGAGACGGAGCCCGCCGCGCCGCCGCGCCCCCUCCUCGGCCCUCCGGUCAUCCGCGGCGCGCGCCCGUCGCGCCCCUUCGUCGGCGUCCUCGACGCGGCCGUCGACGCGCCGUCGGCCGCGGAGAUCAAGGCGGAGCUGGAGCCGCGGAGGGCGCUGACGGAGAACGGCUCCGCCACGUACGCCAACUCGGGCAGCCCCUGCCUCGACUUCUUCUUCCAGGUGGUGCCCGACACGCCGCCCGAGCGCGUGCGCGGCCUGCUCGCUGCCGCCUGGGCGCACGACGCGCUCACGGCGCUCAAGCUCGCCUGCAACCUGCGCGGCGUCCGCGGCACCGGCAAGUCGGACAAGGAGGGCUUCUACGCCGCCGCGCUCUGGCUGCACCAGAACCACCCCCGCACGCUCGCCUGCAACGUCGCCGCGCUCGCCGAGUUCGGCUACCUCAAGGACUUGCCCGAGCUGCUCUUCCGCCUCAUCCACGGCCCCGACGUGCGCAAGCUCGCCAGGGAGAGCGCGGACGCCGAGAAGGCGGGCAGGAAGGAGAAGGACCUCGGCAAGCCUAAGCCUAGGCUGGCCGACUGCAAGCAAGCCCGCGUGCUGGCCCCUGUGCCGCCAAAGCCCAUGUUCGGCGCCUACCUCUCCGCCGCCCUCGCCAUGUCCGGCAGGGGCAGGCCCAUGGAGGUGGAGGCCGCCCCUGUCCCGGUUCAGGAGCCGGCCGAGCAGAAGCCGAAGGUGGACCAGAAGAAGAAGACGGCGGCAACUAAGCGGCGGCCGUCGAAGAAGGUCCGGAAGGCGGCCAAGCUCGCCGUGCAGUCGCUGGAGACGUACUACGGCGACCGUGCCUACCGCUUCCUGUUCGACGCUGUCGCCGACUUCUUCGCCGCCCUCCUUGCGACGGACCUCGAGCAGCUGGCCCUCGACGGCAAGAAGAGGAAGAUCGGGCUCGCCGCCAAGUGGUGCCCCACGCCGGGCUCGUCGUUCGACCGCACAACGCUGCUCUGCGAGGCCAUCGCCCGUCGCCUCUUCCCGCGCGACUCGGACCCCGAGUACGCCCAGCUCUCCGACGAGCACUACACGUACCAAACCCUCCACCGCCUCCGCCGCGAGGUGCUCGUCCCGCUGCGCAAGGUCCUGGAGCUCCCUGAAGUGUACAUGAGCGCGCAGCGGUGGUCGGAGCUGCCCUACACCCGCGUGGCCUCGGUGGCCAUGCGGCGCUACAAGCUCCUCUUCAAGAAGCACGACGAGGAGCGCUUCGACAAGUACCUGGAGGACGUGGAGGCCGGCAAGGCCAAGAUCUCGGCCGGGGCGCUGCUGCCCCACGAGAUCGCGGCGUCCGCCUACCGCGGCGAGGACGACGACGUGUCCGAGCUGCAGUGGCGCCGCAUGGUGGAUGACCUCCGCUCCAAGGGCUCGUUGUGCAAUUGCAUCUCCGUCUGCGACGUGUCCGGCAGCAUGACCGGCACUCCCAUGGAGGUGUGCAUCGCGCUGGGCGUGCUCACGUCAGAGCUCAGCGAGGAGCCGUGGGCGGGCAAGGUGAUAACCUUCAGCGAGAGGCCCGAGCUCCACCUCAUCAACGGCAAGACCCUCCGUGAGAAGAUGAGGUUCGUGCAGCGUAUGGAGUGGGACAUGAACACCAACUUCCAGGCAGUGUUCGACCAGAUCCUCCGCACGGCGGUGGAAGCCCGGCUGGCGCCGGAGAAGAUGAUCAGGACUGUGUUUGUGUAUAGCGACAUGGAGUUCGACCAGGCGUCGGGGUACGACGACGACGAUGACUACUCUGAGGACGACGAAGAGGAGGACGAGGAGGAGGAGAAGCAGCGGUCGUGGAACACAGACUAUAAGGUGAUCUGCCAGAAGUUUAGGGACGCCGGGUACGGGGACGUGGUGCCGCAAAUCAUCUUCUGGAACCUGCGCGACUCCAAAUCGACGCCGGUGACCUCGACACAGCCUGGGGUGGCCAUGGUGAGCGGCUUCUCCAAGAACUUCCUCAAGAUCUUCCUGAAGAAGGACGGCGUGGUGAACCCCGAGGCCAUUAUGAUGGAGGCCAUCGCCGGCGACGAGUACCAGAAGCUGGCUGUGUUCGACUAG
rnacentral:rRNA from 1 species